rnacentral:rRNA from 1 species
CGUACAAGCAGUGGGAGCCACUUCGUGUGGUGACUGCGUACCUUUUGUAUAAUGGGUCAGCGACUUAUAUUUAGUAGCAAGGUUAAGUGAAUAACGGAGCCGUAGCGAAAGCGAGUGUUAACUGCGCGUUUAGUUGCUAGGUAUAGACCCGAAACCCGGUGAUCUAGCCAUGAGCAGGUUGAAGGUUGAGUAACAUCAACUGGAGGACCGAACCCACUAACGUUGAAAAGUUAGGGGAUGACUUGUGGCUGGGGGUGAAAGGCCAAUCAAACCGGGAGAUAGCUGGUUCUCCCCGAAAUCUAUUUAGGUAGAGCCUCGGACGAAUUCCAUUGGGGGUAGAGCACUGUUAAGGCUAGGGGGUCAUCCCGACUUACCAACCCUUUGCAAACUCCGAAUACCAAUGAGAACUAUCCGGGAGACACACGGCGGGUGCUAACGUCCGUCGUGGAGAGGGAAACAACCCAGACCGCCAGCUAAGGUCCCAAAAUAUUGCUAAGUGGGAAACGAUGUGGGAAGGCAUAGACAGCUAGGAGGUUGGCUUAGAAGCAGCCACCCUUUAAAGAAAGCGUAAUAGCUCACUAGUCGAGUCGGCCUGCGCGGAAGAUGUAACGGGGCUAAGCAAUAUACCGAAGCUGCGGCAGCAUGUUUACAUGCUGGGUAGGGGAGCGUUGUGUAAGUGGAUGAAGGUGAGUUGUAAAGCUUGCUGGACAUAUCACAAGUGCGAAUGCUGACAUGAGUAACGAUAAUGGGAGUGAAAAACUCCCACGCCGGAAGACCAAGGUUUCCUGUCCCAUGCUAAUCAGGGCAGGGUAAGUCGGCCCCUAAGGCGAGGCAGAAAUGCGUAGUCGAUGGGAAACGGGUUAAUAUUCCCGUACUUAUAUAAUCAGUGAUGGAGGGACGGAGAAGGCUAGGCAAGCUUGGCGUUGGUUGUCCAAGUGAAAGUGUGUAGGCUGAAGACUUAGGUAAAUCCGGGUUUUCAAGGCCGAGACACGAGACGAGCUCCCAAGGGAGUGAAGUUGUUGAUGCCCUGCUUCCAGGAAAAGCUUCUAAACUUAUGAUUAUAUGAACCGUACCCCAAACCGACACAGGUGGUCAGGUAGAGAAUACUAAGGCGCUUGAGAGAACUCGGGUGAAGGAACUCGGCAAAAUUGUACCGUAACUUCGGGAGAAGGUACGCCUCUGUUUGUGAACACUUCGCGUGGUAAGCAAAUGGAGGCCGCAGUGACCAGGUGGCUGGGACUGUUUAUUAAAAACACAGCACUCUGCAAACUCGUAAGAGGACGUAUAGGGUGUGACACCUGCCCGGUGCCGGAAGGUUAAUUGAUGGGGUUAGUUUUCGGACGAAGCUCUUGAUCGAAGCCCCGGUAAACGGCGGCCGUAACUAUAACGGUCCUAAGGUAGCGAAAUUCCUUGUCGGGUAAGUUCCGACCUGCACGAAUGGUGUAACCAUGGCCACGCUGUCUCCACCCGAGACUCAGUGAAAUUGAAAUCGCAGUGAAGAUGCUGUGUACCCGCACCUAGACGGAAAGACCCCGUGAACCUUUACUACAGCUUGGCACUGAACAUUGAACCUACAUGUGUAGGAUAGGUGGGAGGCUUUGAAGCACAGUCGCUAGAUUGUGUGGAGCCGUCCUUGAAAUACCACCCUUGUAUGUUUGAUGUUCUAACAUUGUCCCCUUAUCGGGGUUGUGGACAGUGUCUGGUGGGUAGUUUGACUGGGGCGGUCUCCUCCCAAAUAGUAACGGAGGAGCACGAAGGUUAGCUAAUCACGGUCGGACAUCGUGAGGUUAGUGCAAUGGCAUAAGCUAGCUUAACUGCGAGACAGACACGUCGAGCAGGUACGAAAGUAGGUCAUAGUGAUCCGGUGGUUCUGUAUGGAAGGGCCAUCGCUCAACGGAUAAAAGGUACUCCGGGGAUAACAGGCUGAUACCGCCCAAGAGUUCAUAUCGACGGCGGUGUUUGGCACCUCGAUGUCGGCUCAUCACAUCCUGGGGCUGAAGUCGGUCCCAAGGGUAUGGCUGUUCGCCAUUUAAAGUGGUACGCGAGCUGGGUUUAGAACGUCGUGAGACAGUUCGGUCCCUAUCUGGUGUGGGCGUUGGAUGAUUGAUGGGAGCUGCUCCUAGUACGAGAGGACCGGAGUGGACGAACCGCUGGUGUUCGGGUUGUCAUGCCAAUGGCAUUGCCCGGUAGCUAUGUUCGGAACGGAUAACCGCUGAAAGCAUCUAAGCGGGAAGCCGGCCCAAAGAUGAGUCAUCCCUGACCUUUAAGGUCUGGAAGGGUUGU